rnacentral:tmRNA from 1 species
GGGGGCGUACCGGUUUCGACGGGGGCUCUGAAACGAACUAAGCGGGCGGAUGCGCCUGACAUCCUUAAAACGGGCAACCUUUUAAAAUUAUCUGACAACGAUAAUCUCGAACUGGCUGCUGCUUAACGCGGCCCGUCCUCGCCGGAAGGUCCACGAGCCGGAUGAGGGCGUGACUCAGUGGAGAACGUGCGCGCGGUAAGCUUUGCCCGCGCCAUGCAUCAUGAAGCUACUGAACCGCAUCGCGUGACGGUUUGCGCUGCGGGGAUGGAAUUGGGCGCAAGCCCGGAAUAACCGUCUGCGCCCGGAGAAAGGUUUGCGGAGGGGCUUUCGGACAGGGGUUCAACUCCCCUCGCCUCCACCA